UCUCAGAGCUCAAUUGAAGAGACAGUUAAAGAUUUAGAUAAUAAAUGGGAAAAUAUUCAGAAUAAAGCAUCGAAGCAGCCUUCUCCAGCUCAAAGAGAGAAAGCAUUGGACAAGCAGCUUCACAGCCUAAUUGAGCAACUAGCUGCAAAGCAGGCACAAGCAGAAG